rnacentral:rRNA from 1 species
AUUGAACGCUGGCGGCGUGCCUAACACAUGCAAGUCGAGCGGUAACAGGUGUAGCAAUACAUGCUGACGAGCGGCGAACGGGUGAGUAAUGCUUCGGAAUCUACCCAAUGGUGGGGAAUAACCAGCCGAAAGGUUGGCUAAUACCGCAUACGUCCCACGGGAGAAAGCAGGGGAUCGCAAGACCUUGCGCCAAUGGAUGAGCCGAAGUCGGAUUAGCUAGNGGUAGGGUAACGGCCUACCAAGGCGACGAUCCGUAGCUGGUCUGAGAGGACGACCAGCCAUACUGGGACUGAGACACGGCCCAGACUCCUACGGGAGGCAGCAGUGGGGAAUAUUGGACAAUGGGGGAAACCCUAAUCCAGCGACGCCGCGUGUGUGAAGAAGGCCUGC